UAGGGUUUGUCAAGCAAAUAAUACACAUGGGUUAAAUCUUUCGUAGUGUUAGUAGUGAGAUUUUCUUUCCCUCUUGUGGUUAAUUAGAUUAGUUGGGCGACAAAAUUUAAGAAAUUAGAGUUGCAAUGUAAUUGUUGUAACAUAAUUCAAUAGUAUAUAUUAGUUUCGUAGUGCAUUGGCGAUGAUCAUAAUCAGGGUCUUCCAAUGUCUGGAUAGUCCUCUUAGACCGUUCAUCGGUCUGAGGAGGAAAGAUUAUGCUAAGACUCAUUCUACUAAUGAAAGGCUAAACGCCCAAGAAGGUAAUAAUAGUAUCUUAUCUUUCUUAUAUUUACUACAUAUUGCAUGCUAGUUCUAGAAAGUUUAAUUAAUGAUUAAUUUGAUGAUCAUAUAGAAGCUUCUUGAUGUAGUAAAAUGAAGAGAGAGUUUACAAGACUUCAUUUACAAGACUUAACAUUUAUCCACUUAAAAUUCAGCUCAACAUUCAUGAAAACAUUCUAUUUGGACGAUCAAGUUCAAGUACUCGCUGAAAGUUUGAUUAAAACAGAUAUUACUAUAAUAUGAUAAAAAUGGCUCAUCAAUUGAGAGUUGCAAGAUUUGUUUAAGAACUUUAAUUGAAAGAAAGAAACUUUGAAGCAUUAUUCUUAUGGAAAAGUAGCUGUACUAGCAUGCAAUGCAAAGCUUUUAAUAGUUUGCAUCAAGAAAUCAUGAUUUGGAUAAUAGAUUAGGAUUUAUACCUAUUUUUUUUGUCGCGUUUUAACUUUUGUUUGUUUUGCAAAAAAAAUUACAAGCGUACCCGCUUUUUCGCAUAACUUCAGCAUACAACACUGAAGUAGCAAAUGCAAUCACACAAAACUUCACCAUUUUAGUAGACAUGCCUGAAGUAGCAAGUAUACUAAAGCAAGUAUACUGAAGCAAGUAUGCUGAAGUUUUUAUUUUUGUAACUGGCGAACUUCAGCUCUAGAGCUUAAAGUUUUUGUUUUUGUAACUGACGAACUUCAGCUCUAAAACUUAAAUUUUUAUUUUGUAACUAGCUAACUUCAACUCUAGAGCCAUACAUUAUAUUAUUUCAAAUACGAGAGGCAAAAUAGCAAUACAAGUUUCAUAACUAUUAAGGUCCGAUAUAAUUUCUUAUACAGUGGGAUUCUGACUUGGAUCUUUAAGAGAAAUCUCAUGAGCCCAAGUCUCAGUAGAUUUUAAUAUCUAUUGUACCAAUUAUGAGGUUUUAUUUUCCUCCUGGGCUUGGCAUCGAGGAAUGUCAGAACAACGUGAGAAGAAGUUUUAGGUAACUUCAAAACCUCCUCUGAUGCUUCUUCUGAUUUAUGAGCACAACUCUCUCAAAUAAUUGUCAGUAUUUCCAAAACUCGUGCAUUUUUCAGAAAGAAGAAGAAAAACAAGAAGAAAACAAAGGAGGAAAAGGAGGAGGAGAAAUGGAGUUGAAGUUAUUUAAAAAGUGGGUACAAAUUAAUUUUUUUUUAAAAAUAAUUAUAAAUUAAAUGAGCGCAACCAAAUAAGGGACCCCGUGCAAUUUUUACGAAAAUACUGCAGAAACUGCACGGGCCCAAGUAGUAUGAUUGGGCCUCGAAAAGGGUGCUUUGUGUUUGACAUGAUCGUCUAUAUUUUCAUUAAUGUGGUGCUUAUACUUUUUUGAGCCGAUAGUCUAUUAGAAACACCUUCUCUAUCUUCAUAAGGUAGAAAAGGUCUGCAUAUAUACUAUCCUCCCUAUAUAUCACGGUGUGAUGCAGGAUAGUACUGGGUAUAUUGUUAUAGUGCAUGAGCCUCAACAAAUAUUUCCUAAGUUGUAAUUAAUAAGUAGAAAUUACACCAGGUGCUACUCUGAAGGCUUCUAUUUAAGAAUUUUCCAAUAUCUCAUAACUUUUAAUUUUUUAUUCAAUUUUUCAGGGCACAAAUAUCUUAAAUCAUUCCUAAACUUAAAUUUGUAAUUUAAAUUUUAAAAAUAAAAUAAGUACUGAUUAAUUCGUAAAUAACAUCGCUUAGAGUGACUGUUUGUGCACUUCCCACAAUUAAUACGGAUGAUCGGAUUGAAACGAGACGUAGCCUUGUACAUCUAUAUAUAAUUAUAUAAAACUGGGGAAUACAAAUCUAACGUGGCAUCUCUCACUUGCCAGGGUUUUUAUUUAUCUCUUUUUUUAGAGUUUUGCCUUUUUAAAUGAAGAAAAAUAAUGUCCUACCUAGGGGUAGAGAGACUGUUUCCAAAUAGACCCCAGGCAUCCUUCCCUCAAAGAACUUCCCACAUUACUCUUGGGGAGAUUCGAGCUCGCACCUCUCGGUUGAAAAUGGGGAUUGCUUACCAUCAGAGCAACCCCUCUUAUCUCCUAACACUCUUUCCACAUAACUUUUGUGGUGGUUGAUUAGCGCUAAUUGGUAUUUGAAUCUUUCACAUUACCUGUCAUGCCAUGUUUGAUUGUUCCUACAGCUUUUUACAAUCUAUUUGGUGAAGAUUCGAUUUAUUUGCAGGGGUUCCAUUUCACUUUUUGCGGUUCUAAGAUGUCAGAGACAAGGUUAAGGCUUUGGAGAUAGUCUCUAUUGUUCCAGGUAUUGAAAUAGUUAAAUUUUUCUUUGUUUUUCACCAAUCAAGAUUUCAUUGUUAAUUGAUACAAAACCACAAUGCUUCAGCUCCAAUUUUCCUGCUAUUCUUUUUUGCCAUAUGAGUUUGUGAAAAAAUUAGUUAUAGCAUGAUCAAUCAUUAUCACUAAUAAUUUAUUAUAUUAACUUUCCAGUUGUCCCC
rnacentral:lncRNA from 1 species